rnacentral:rRNA from 1 species
GACGAACGCUGGCGGCGUGCUUAACACAUGCAAGUCGAACGGGAAGGCCCUGCUUUUGUGGGGUGCUCGAGUGGCGAACGGGUGAGUAACACGUGAGUAACCUGCCCUUGACUUUGGGAUAACUUCAGGAAACUGGGGCUAAUACCGGAUAGGAGCUCCUGCUGCAUGGGGGGGGUUGGAAAGUUUCGGCGGUUGGGGAUGGACUCGCGGCUUAUCAGCUUGUUGGUGGGGUAGUGGCUUACCAAGGCUUUGACGGGUAGCCGGCCUGAGAGGGUGACCGGCCACAUUGGGACUGAGAUACGGCCCAGACUCCUACGGGAGGCAGCAGUGGGGAAUAUUGCACAAUGGGCGGAAGCCUGAUGCAGCAACGCCGCGUGCGGGAUGACGGCCUUCGGGUUGUAAACCGCUUUCGCCUGUGACGAAGCGUGAGUGACGGUAAUGGGUAAAGAAGCACCGGCUAACUACGUG